GACGAACGCUGGCGGCGUGCUUAACACAUGCAAGUCGAACGGUAAGGCCCUUCGGGGUACACGAGUGGCGAACGGGUGAGUACCACGUGGGUGAUCUGCCCUGCACUUCGGGAUAAGCCUGGGAAACUGGGUCUAAUACCGGAUAGGACCACUGCCUGCAUGGGUGGUGGUGGAAAGCUUUUGCGGUGUGGGAUGGGCCCGCGGCCUAUCAGCUUGUUGGUGGGGUGAGGGCCUACCAAGGCGACGACGGGUAGCCGGCCUGAGAGGGUGACCGGCCACACUGGGACUGAGAUACGGCCCAGACUCCUACGGGAGGCAGCAGUGGGGAAUAUUGCAUAAUGGGCGCAAGCCUGAUGCAGCGACGCCGCGUGAGGGAUGACGGCCUUCGGGUUGUAAACCUCUUUCAGCACCGACGAAGCGCAAGUGACGGUAGGUGCAGAAGAAGGACCGGCCAACUACGUGCCAGCAGCCGCCGUAA
rnacentral:rRNA from 1 species